ACGGAAGGCAGCAGUGAGGAAUAUUGGUCAAUGGGCGUAAGCCUGAACCAGCCAAGUAGCGUGGAGGAUGACGGCCCUAUGGGUUGUAAACUCCUUUUAUGUAUGGAUAAAGUUAGUCACGUGUGACUAUUUGCAGGUAAUACAUGAAUAAGGACCGGCUAAUUCCGUGCCAGCAGCCGCGGUAAUACGGAAGGUCCGGGCGUUAUCCGGAUUUAUUGGGUUUAAAGGGAGCGUAGGCGGCCGAUUAAGCGUGUUGUGAAAUGUAGAUGCUCAACAUCUGAAUUGCAGCGCGAACUGGUUGGCUUGAGUGCGCAGGAAGUAGGCGGAAUUCGUUGUGUAGCGGUGAAAUGCUUAGAUAUGACGAAGAACUCCGAUUGCGAAGGCAGCUUACUGUAGCGUUACUGACGCUGAAGCUCGAAAGUGCGGGUAUCGAACAGGAUUAGAUACCCUGGUA
rnacentral:rRNA from 1 species